rnacentral:rRNA from 1 species
AAUCAACGCUGGCGGCGUGCCUCAGACAUGCAAGUCGAACGAUUAAACUUUCCUUCGGGAAAGAUAUAAAGUGGCGCACGGGUGAGUAACACGUAAGUAAUCUACCUUCGAGUGGGGAAGUAACAUCGGGAAACCGGAUGCUAAUACCGCAUAAUGCAGCGGCAUCGAAAGAUGACAGUUGUUAAAGGAGCAAUUCGCUUGAAGAGGAGCUUGCGGCAGAUUAGCUAGUUGGU